rnacentral:rRNA from 1 species
GACGAACGCUGGCGGCGUGCCUAAUACAUGCAAGUCGAACGCAGUGGGGACGGGUGAGUAACACGUGGGUAACCUCCCAUCAGAGGGGAUAACACUUGGAAACAGGUGCUAACCCGAUAUUGCUUGAUGGACCCGCGGUGCAUUAGCUUGUUGGGGGGGUAACGGCUCACCAAGGCCACGAUGCAUAGCCGACCUGAGAGGGUGAUCGGCCACACUGGGACUGAGACACGGCCCAGACUCCUACGGGAGGAAGCAGUAGGGAAUCUUCGGCAAUGGACGAAAGUCUGACCGAGCAACGCCGCGUGAGUGAAGAAGGUUUUCGGAUCGUAAAGCUCUGUUGUCAGAGAAGCGGUAUCUAAACAGAAAGCAACGGCUAACUACGUGCCAGCAGCCGCGGUAAUAC